AAUAGAUGACGCUGUUGACUUUUUCUCACACGUUUGACCAUUCGUUUUAUUCAAAAAAUUUACGUAAUUAUAAUUUAUUUUGUUGUGAGUUGUUUUAUCACUCAUGGUACUUUAAGUGUGAUUUAUAUCUUAUAUAUUUGUAUAAAAUUUUUGAAUAAGACGAAUGGUUAAAUAUGUGAGAAAAAAUCAACGGUGUCAUCUAUU
rfam:Oryza glaberrima chromosome 2 Oglab02_0244_1, whole genome shotgun sequence.